GCUAAAGUAGCAAAGGGGUAAUGCUAGAAGUCUAAGCUUUCUUUAUCGGAGGUUCGAUUCUUCCCUUUAGUU
rnacentral:tRNA from 1 species